UACGUAGGGUGCAAGCGUUAUCCGGAAUUAUUGGGCGUAAAGAGCUCGUAGGCGGUUUGUCGCGUCUGCUGUGAAAACUGGAGGCUCAACCUCCAGCCUGCAGUGGGUACGGGCAGACUAGAGUGCGGUAGGGAGAUUGGAAUUCCUGGUGUAGCGGUGGAAUGCGCAGAUAUCAGGAGGAACACCGAUGGCGAAGGCAGAUCUCUGGGCCGUAACUGACGCUGAGGAGCGAAAGCAUGAGGAGCGAACAGG
rnacentral:rRNA from 1 species